ACCCGCUGAAUUUAAGCAUAUAACUAAGCGGAGGAAAAGAAACUAACAAGGAUUCCCCUAGUAAGGGCGACUGAAGCGGGAUCAGCCCAGAUUGUAAACUGACCUUAAUUAAGGUUGGGUUGUAGUCUAAAGAGGCGACGCCAGGCAAGGUCCGGGGAGAAGUCCCUUGGAACAGGGCAUCGGAGAGGGUGACAAUCCCGUCUGUGCCUCGGACCGCGUCGUACGGUGCGUCUUCGACGAGUCGGUUUGCUUGGGAUUGCAGACCAAACGGGUGGUAAAUUCCAUCUAAGGCUAAAUACGGGUGGGAGACCGAUAGCGAACAAGUACCGUGAGGGAAAGAUGCAAAGAACUUUGAAAAGAGAGUUAAAAAGGGCCUGAAACUGGUAAGAGGGAACCGAACGGCAGAAGUGGUGAUGGGCGCGUAUUUUCCGCCGGGCUCUUGGCCGGCGUACUUGUGCGCGUCCGUAGGUCAGCGUGGGUUGGGGCGUGGGAGUCGUUCAUGGGAAGGUCUUCGGGCCAAUCUCGUGUUCAGGCCGCGCCUGAGACCUUCGGUGACGAAAUUCUUCCGUUCACCCCGUCUUGAAACACGGACCAAGGAGUCUAAAAUACGAGCGAGUGCGCCGGUGGCAACCCGGGGCGCGUAAUGAAAGUGAGACCGACGGUGGGAGGGCUUUACGUCCGCACCAUCAACCGACCAGGAUCCUCCGGGUGAAAGGUUUGAGUGUAGCUUGUAUUUUGGGACCCGAAAGAUGGUGAACUAUGCCUGAAUAGGGCGAAGCCAGGGGAAACUCUGGUGGAGGCUCGUAGCGAUUCUGACGUGCAAAUCGAUCGUCAAAUUUGGGUAUAGGGGCGAAAGACUAAUCGAACCAUCUAGUAGCUGGUUCCCUCCGAAAUUUCCCUCAGGAUAGCAGCAAUCGAAGAGUUUUAUCAGGUAAAGCGAAUGAUUAGAGGCCUCAGGGGUGGAACGUCCUUGACCUAUUCUCAAACUUUAAAUGGGUAAGAGCCAGGGGUUGCUUAAGUGAACCCCUCGGUCGAAUCGCGGUUGCAAGUGGGCCACCCGGGGUAAGCUCGGUUGGCGAUGCGGGAUGAUCCGAACGUCGAGUUAAAGUGCCUCACUGCCCGCUCACCUAGAUCCCACAAAAGGUGUUGGUUCAUUUAGACAGCAGGACGGUGGCCAUGGAAGUCGGAACCCGCUAAGGAGUGUGUAACAACUCACCUGCCGAAUGGAUUAGCCCUGAAAAUGGAUGGCGCUGAAGCGAGCGACUUAUACUCGACCAUCACGGCAAGUGCGACGCCGUGAUGAGUAGGAGGGCGUGGGGCUCGUGGCGCAUCCCGCGGCGUGAGCCGGGGUGAAACGGGCUCUAGUGCAGAUCUUGGUGGUAGUAGC
rnacentral:rRNA from 1 species